GACGAACGCUGGCGGCGUGCUUAACACAUGCAAGUCGAACGGUAAGGCUCCAGCUUGCUGGGGUACACGAGUGGCGAACGGGUGAGUAACACGUGGGUGACCUGCCCUGCACUUCGGGAUAAGCCUGGGAAACUGGGUCUAAUACCGGAUAGGACCGCACCGUGAGGGUGUGGUGGAAAGUUUUUUCGGUGUGGGAUGGGCCCGCGGCCUAUCAGCUUGUUGGUGGGGUAAUGGCCUACCAAGGCGGCGACGGGUAGCCGGCCUGAGAGGGUGGACGGCCACAUUGGGACUGAGACACGGCCCAGACUCCUACGGGAGGCAGCAGUGGGGAAUAUUGCACAAUGGGCGGAAGCCUGAUGCAGCGACGCCGCGUGGGGGAUGACGGCCUUCGGGUUGUAAACUCCUUUCACCAUCGACGAAGGGUUUCUGACGGUAGAUGGAGAAGAAGCACCGGCUAACUACGU
rnacentral:rRNA from 1 species